AUUCAUUGUAUUGUGGUAAGUGUGUUAGGAUAAAGGCAGGAAGUUGGGCCUUCGGGGGAGGGAGUCCUUGCUAGAUGCGGAAGUAAUCUAUGCUUUAAGUUGAUUGGAGAAUCAUUUAUUUGUUAGAUAUAAGAAGAAUAAACAUUUUUGUUGCACCAUAUCCCUGGAUGUCAUUGAAUGUUUGGCCGUUUGGAAACCUUGAGUGUGGACUGUAUGCGUACCAAACAACGCCGCUUCAGGCUUGGGCAGUGGCUAUGGUAAAAAGGAAAGGAAGCCACUACAUUCAGGUCAAAAAACUCCGUGAAGGAUUACUAUCGGAAGGAAAUCUCCGGUUCGGACCCACGCUGGAUAUGGUUCUAUUUCUAAUUGCAUUCGGAUCGUAAGGACAGCUCGCUUGGAAGGAAUUGAACUCCUAGAAUUCGCCAGACGGUGUGUACGAGGAGCUGGCACAGAUGGCAACGGACUGAUUUCCCGCUCUUCCACACUCCGCCGACCAAGCCCCCCCCCCCCCAAAGAAUCUUGGUUUCUGUGGCCGCGGUCCCCGGCGUCAUCGCUGUCCUUCCACCUUCCCUGGUGUCUCCUUCCAAGGAAGGGUCUCACAACCUCCCAUGAUCUCCUCCCAGGUCCAAAACUGGUGGGAUAUUCUGUCACGAACAUGAGGAGAGACGGACCAAGGCGCAGUGUGAGAGGCAGUGUGAGCGGACUGACUCUGAAGCUAAUCAAGGCAUCAGUGACGGAGAUGCUGGAUACUGUCUGAUGACGACUAUGUCAACGUGGCCAGGUCUUUCUUCAAUCUCUCUUCUGCUCUGUCCUUCUCUCUCCUGCCCUGUCCUUCUCUCUCCUGCCCUGUCCUUCUCUCUCCUGCCCUGUUUCAGUUUAAUGAGAAGGCAGAGGCAGUGGUCCCUUGCUUUAAACACCUGGUCCAGGCCAACGUUCCCAACAAGAAGAUCUUCAAAGAGACUGUGCAGAUCAUGCAAGCUAAAGGCACCACAAGUCUGGUUUCCACUUUGCCUUCAAUCAGCUACUAAAUGUAAAUGACUCAAAGCUCAACACUCUGAAUGACCGCACUAUGGACUAGUGAUGCCCAAUUCUUUGUUACUACUAUAAAUUACAUUUAAUUAUAGAUAACAGACCAGUAGAACAUAUAACAGUGGCUCUCUAGGAGUAGACAGUGUUAUAUAUGGAAUGGGUGAUCCUGUUUGGCUUAGUUGGUAAGAGUGUAACAGUUGUUAAAGUACUAUGUGAAUUUCACCAGGUUCAUAUACUAAUAUGUCGUGUUGAUUUGUUAUUAUGCAUGCUUGCAUCCUGGGAGAAGGGGAGUGUGUACUCGUGCUCACAUCAUUUUGAUGCACUGAGAGAGGUAGGCACGCUUUCUGUCUUCACAAAAGUUUGAUUAUUUUAAGUACAAAGUCAUACACACAGUGUUUUGUUCAUGAAUAAUUAUGUAUAUUUAGAGGUCACUCGUAAGUGGAUGCACUUGUAAUUGUACUUUUUAGGAUGAUCUCAAAAUUCUGAAUUCAACAUAUGGUUAAUAGCUAGUUAAAGUAUUAGCAGGCUAUUGUAUGUGUGAACGAUGGCUAGCUCCUCGAAUGAUCCCAGUCCCUCCUAUUGUGCAUCUGUUGUAGAAAGAGGCGACGAUUCGCAGAACAUGUGUGCUCUACAAACGUUUUAUUUCCUUUUGGAUGCAGAUGCACGAUGCAGAGAGUGAGUUCUGCUUCAUUAAAACUACCUGAUCUGCAAA